GUGAGUCAUCGAAUCUUUGAACGCAUAUUGCGCUCCCUGGUAUUCCGGGGAGCAUGCCUGUUUCAGUAUCAGUUCUCCAAAGCAAACCUCCCUUGGGGGGAAAGCUGAAUUGAGUCUUCUCAGGAACCAUAUUAAUUUUAAUGUGGUGAUGGAGUGAUUUGAAAUUAAGAGCACGGCAGUAUGUUGGCUCAUACAAAAUCGACCUUUGGUGUAAUAUGUAGCCUUAACGGGUCCUACUAUUUUAUUCGCCUCAGGAAGAGAGACAACUCUGGCCCGUCACCUUAAAUUAACUGUGAGCUU
rnacentral:misc_RNA from 1 species